UACGUAGGGUGCAGGCGUUAAUCGGAAUUACUGGGCGUAAAGCGUGCGCAGGCGGUCUUUUAAGUCAGAUGUGAAAUCCCCCGGGGCUUAACCUGGGAACUGCGUUUGAAACUGGAAGGCUAGAGUGUGGCAGAGGGGGGUGGAAUUCCACGGUGUAGCAGUGAAAUGCGUAGAUAUGCGGAGGAACACCGAUGGCGAAGGCAAUCCCCUGGGCCUGCACAGACGCUCAGUGCACGAAAGCGUG
rnacentral:rRNA from 1 species